rnacentral:miRNA from 1 species
GAGCGAGCCAUGGAGAGCAAGCCAGUAAGCAGCGCCCUCCAUGUUCUCUGCUUCAGCUCCCGCCUCCAGGGAUCUGC